GAUGAACGCUGGCGGCGUGCCUAAUACAUGCAAGUCGAGCGAACAGACGAGGAGCUUGCUCCUCUGACGUUAGCGGCGGACGGGUGAGUAACACGUGGAUAACCUACCUAUAAGACUGGGAUAACUUCGGGAAACCGGAGCUAAUACCGGAUAAUAUAUUGAACCGCAUGGUUCAAUAGUGAAAGACGGUUUUGCUGUCACUUAUAGAUGGAUCCGCGCCGCAUUAGCUAGUUGGUAAGGUAACGACUUACCAAGGCAACGAUGCGUAGCCGACCUGAGAGGGUGAUCGGCCACACUGGAACUGAGACACGGUCCAGACUCCUACGGGAGGCAGCAGUAGGGAAUCUUCCGCAAUGGGCGAAAGCUUGACGGAGCAACGCCGCGUGAGUGAUGAAGGUCUUCGGAUCGUAAAACUCUGUUAUUAGGGAAGAACAAAUGUGUAAGUAACUAUGCACGUCUUGACGGUACCUAAGCAGAAAGCCACGGCUAACUACGU
rnacentral:rRNA from 1 species